AGUCAUUUUGUAAUAUUUCAAAACAAUAGCUUGUAAUCUAAUAGUAAAUGAAGGGUUCACAUCUGUCCUUGUCUUUAACAGAGCUCCAGCUGGGGGACUAUAUGGACUCUACGUAUUAGAAUAUCUUGGUAAAUAAGCUAGCUCCAGCUGGGGGACUAUAUGGACUCUACGUAUUAGAAUAUCUUGGUAAAUAAGCUCAAUUUUACCUAUCCAUUUUUAGGUACGGUUUUAGAUUAUCUCAUGUUAUAUUUCGUUACAGUAGAUGAGUACUGUUGACCCUUUUCGAAAGCAAAUAGAUAUGGUUGGAUAAGCAAAGAUGUAUACUUUUCUUACUCAUGAAUGUUGCAGGGUGGAAUGUUAAAGCAUUGAAAAUACCUGUUGUGUAUUGGAUCAGGUUCACUAGGCUUUACUAAAAUCUCAGCAGAAACAAUACAGAGAAAAAUAAGUAAAAGAAGAGCCAUCAAUAAACUGCUGCCGCGGCCAGCACCAUCACCACCCAUAACUCCAGUGUUACUAUCUCAAAUUUUCCCGUCUUUGAUCUUCAAUGCACAUUUGUGAAUCAGAGGAACACACCCAACACCAAAAUUUCCUUCUGUUCUUGGGAUGCUCUUAAAUGGAUAUUUUUUAUUUGCCUAAGAUUAAUAUAUAGCAUGAAAAAGUUAAAGUUGGUUAUAUCCAAAGACCAAAAGCAACAAAAGGGAAAGGUAAUUUGAAGAUGUGGGGUAAAAAGUGAAGAGAAUUAGGCGCAGGUAUAGGCUGACAACAGUUUAUAAUAAAGUAAGAUGUCCAAUUAUUUAUCACCUCGGUAGUGCAGGUAUAACAUUGCCAAGGGGACAUAGAAAGUUCAGCACAUAAAAUUAAUCCAUAAUUUCUACUGUGUAUUGUUUUUUCCCCAAAGAGCUUAAAGGGUUAAACUACCAAGUUUAAAAUGCUGACGAAAAUUCAGGUUAAACUCAUCAUAUUGGACAUUCAUGAUUGCUGGCAUUGAAAAGGUGAUUUGGACGCAAGAAGGAGCCAUCAAAUUCAAAAUCAUUGCAAGAGCAAAUCAAAGAAAAUUUUGUUCUUUAUUCCAGAAAUAAUUUGAAUAUACUUGACGUCUUUGUAUUUUCUCCAAAGAAUCUGUAAAGGGAAUUUCCUGAAAAGAAGUGCAGGCAAAAGAAAUCGU